AUAUUUUUAGUAUAAAAAAUAUAAUUGAUUUCCAAUCAAUUAUAUCUUUUAUUUAAGAAAAGAUA
rnacentral:tRNA from 1 species